CUCGCACCAUACAUUGGCCUCUUAUUUUCAGUGUGUUGAUUUUUAAUGUCGAUUCUAACUUCCCCUUUUCAUUCUCUUUCUCCCUUCCCCCAAUAAUUUAGGGUUCCCCAGAGUCUAUUGGUCUAUCAAUUUCAAUCCUCCUUGAUUCGUGCGAUAAUCCCCUCGAAUCUAUACAAAACCAUGAAGCAGCAAACCAAGAGGAAAAAGAAGAAGCACCGUCCCUCGCGCGCCUCCAAUCCCUCUGGAAACCAAGCACCUCAUGAUGGAGAACAAAAUCAACAACAGCAGCAGCAACAAACCAAUACGGUUUUGUCGUUAAUGGAGGCGUUUGAUUCCGUCUCUUUCGAAGAAGCCUCCUCGGCUUGCAGAGAAGCCAAUGGUGAUGUAAACAAAGUGGCUGGCAUCUUAGCCAACUUGACAGACAAUGUAGAGGAUCCGUCUACGAGUUCUGUUUCGAGUUUGGACUUUGGUUCGGGUUUCAACUCGAGUAUUGCGGGUUCCAGUUCGGGCUCCUCGGAGGGGUACAUGGAGGCGAAUAUGAAUAUGGUGAACAGGAAAGGCUUUCGAGGAAGUAAUAAGCAGAAGAAAGUCGUGGCCGCUACGGGGACGGUUUCAACGGUUCUGGGAAAGGAGUAUGUCAAGGCAAGCCCUAGGAGGGAUUCCGCGAAAACAAAGGAGUUUGUUAAUGGUGUUGUGGUGAAGGAAGAGGCUGAGCAGUUCUUGUGUUCUAUGCUCAGUGACGAUUGCGAGCUAAGCAUGGCUAUUGUUAGAGAUGUCCUAUGUCAGUGUGGAUAUGAUGUUGAAAAGGCUUUGGAUGCAUUGCUUGAUUUAUCUGCUUCCUCCAUUGAGCAGUCAAGGAAUACUUCUGUUGUUGAGCGUGAUGAUAAUGCAACAGAUAGGGCAUCUGAUUGCACUUCUCAUUCAACUGAAAGUGAAGUUCAUGGAAGCAUAUGGGGCUAUGAUUGCAGGAAUUAUUCUGAGGUCCUUACUGGUUUUGAAGCUCCAUCAAGCAGCCCAAGAAGUAAUCAGUCAGAUCUCCCUCAAAAGGUGUUGGAAUCUUUGUUUCACACCUCCAGAAGCUCUGAACAUGAACCAGGCACCAUGAAUUGGAGGAAUGUGGUAAAAAAAAUGC
rnacentral:misc_RNA from 1 species